UCUUACACAUGCAAGUCGAGCGGUAAGGCCCUUCGGGGUACACGAGCGGCGAACGGGUGAGUAACACGUGAGCAACCUGCCCCUGACUCCGGGAUAAGCGGUGGAAACGCCGUCUAAUACCGGAUAUGACACACCAUCUCCUGGUGGUGUGUGGAAAGUUUUAUCGGUCAGGGAUGGGCUCGCGGCCUAUCAGCUUGUUGGUGGGGUAAAGGCCUACCAAGGCGAUUACGGGUAGCCGGCCUGAGAGGGCGACCGGCCACACUGGGACUGAGACACGGCCCAGACUCCUGCGGGAGGCAGCAGUGGGGAAUAUUGCACAAUGGGCGAAAGCCUGAUGCAGCGACGCCGCGUGGGGGAUGACGGCCUUCGGGUUGUAAACCUCUUUUACCACCAACGCAGGCCCCGGGUUCUCUCGGGGUUGACGGUAGGUGGGGAAUAAGGACCGGCUAACUACGUGCCAGCAGCCGCGGUAAUACGUAGGGUCCGAGCGUUGUCCGGAAUUAUUGGGCGUAAAGAGCUCGUAGGCGGCGUGUCGCGUCUGCUGUGAAAGACCGGGGCUUAACCCCGGUUCUGCAGUGGAUACGGGCAUGCUAGAGGUAGGUAGGGGAGACUGGAAUUCCUGGUGUAGCGGUGAAAUGCGCAGAUAUCAGGAGGAACACCGGUGGCGAAGGCGGGUCUCUGGGCCUUACCUGACGCUGAGGAGCGAAAGCAUGGGGAGCGAACAGGAUUAGAUACCCUGGUAGUCCAUGCCGUAAACGUUGGGCGCUAGGUGUGGGGACUUUCCACGGUUUCCGCGCCGUA
rnacentral:rRNA from 1 species